rnacentral:rRNA from 1 species
AUUGAACGCUGGCGGCAGGCCUAACACAUGCAAGUCGAGCGGAUGAAUGGAGCUUGCUCCUGGAUUCAGCGGCGGACGGGUGAGUAAUGCCUAGGAAUCUGCCUGGUAGUGGGGGAUAACGUCCGUACACGGGCGCUAAUACCGCAUCCGUCCUGAUGGAGAAAGUGGUGGAUCUUCGGACCUCACGCUAUCAGAUGAGCCUAGGCCGGAUUAGCUAGUUGGUGGGGUAAAGGCCUACUAAGGCGACGAUCCGUAACUGGUCUGAGAGGAGGAUCAGUCACACUGGAACUGAGACACGGUCCAGACUCCUACGGGAGGCAGCAGUAGGGAAUAUUCGACAAUGGGCGAAAGCCUGAUCCAGCAAUGCCGCGUGUGUGAAGAAGGUCUUCGGAUUGUAAAGCACUUUAAGUAGGGAGGAAGGGAAGUAAGUUAAUACCUGGCUGUUCUGACGUUACCAACAGAGUAAGCACCGGCUAACUUCGUG